AAUCUUCCACAAUGGGCGUAAGUCUGAUGGAGCAACGCCGCGCUAGUUAAGAAGGCUUUCGGUCCGUAAAAUUCUGUUGUAAGGGAAGAAUAAGUACAGCAGUAACUGGCUGUACCUUGACGGUACCUUAUUCGAAAGCCACGGCUAACUACGUGCCAUCAGCCUCGGUAAUACGUAGGUGGCAAGCGUUGUCCGGAAUUAUUGGGCGUAAAGCGCGCGCAGGCGGUCCUUUAAGUCUGAUGUGAAAGCCCACGGCUCAACCGUGGAGGGUCAUUGGAAACUGGGGGACUUGAGUGCAGAAGAGGAAAGUGGAAUUCCAAGUGUAGCGGUGAAAUGCGUAGAGAUUUGGAGGAACACCAGUGGCGAAGGCGACUUUCUGGUCUGUAACUGACGCUGAGGCGCGAAAGCGUGGGGAGCAAACA
rnacentral:rRNA from 1 species